GACGAACGCUGGCGGCGUGCUUAACACAUGCAAGUCGAACGGAAAGGCCCUGCUUUGGUGGUGUGCUCGAGUGGCAAACGGGUGUGACACAUGUGUGACACCUGCCCUUGACUUUGGUAUCACUUCGAGACACUGGGGCUUAUACCGGAUGGGAUCUCCUGCUGCGUGGUGGGGGUUGGAGAUUCUCGGCGGUUGGGGAUGGUCUCGCGGCUUAUCAGCUUGUUGGUGGGGUAGUGGCUUACCAAGGCUUUGGGGGGGAGCGGGCCUGAGGGGGUGACCGGCCACAUUGGGACUGAGAUACGGCCCAGACUCCUACGGGAGGCAGCAGUGGGGAAUAUUGCACAAUGGGCGGAAGCCUGAUGCAGCAACGCCGCGUGCGGGAUGACGGCCUUCGGGUGGUAACCCGCUUUCGCCUGUGACGAAGCGUGAGUGACGGUAAUGGGUAAAGAAGCACCGGCUAACUACGUG
rnacentral:rRNA from 1 species